CAGCUGCGGGCCCCCGGGAAGCCCGUAGAGGGGAUCCACUCCCGGGCCCUGCCUGCGUCCUCUUUCGUGGGUGUCAGAGUGCGCGGCGGGGCCAUUGGGCACCACGCCCACGAGGGUACCCUCCCUCGGCGGGGAGAGGACAGUCAGAGCCCGCCGGUCGCUGGGGGCGGCACGGGGGGUGGCGGGAGCGUGAGCUGAUCCGUCUCCAUUUAGAGUGAAUCCCCAGUUGCUGAAGCUAAGUACGGCUUCACUUACUAACCGGGUGGCAGGGAAAGAGAAGGGGUGUCCACCCCCUUGGGAAUUUGCCCUCAGAAAUGCUGGAGGCAAAGAACGCCGCUGUGGCUGGCACCGGAAGGCGCCGGGGACUGGCGUCUCUGGCCACCGGCCACACGAGAAGGGAAACGCGCGCUCACCUGGGCAGCUAAGCUCAGCGGCACAGAAUGCUGUCGCCCUGCUUGUUCACCGCGCCGGCCUGGAACAGCAACGAACACCAAAGGAAAGGUCUACACUACCAGCCUUCCGUAGUGACCACCAUAAUGUACUCCAAUGGCAAAAGGUGAUUCGAAUGCAGUGACUUAAGGACCACAUUUUGAAAAAUACUGGUGUCCUCAAUAGAUCCAAUCCAGGAUACCAAACUGCAUCUAGAACCCCAACCUUUGAGGAAAAUUAGGACCAGAGUUAGAGCUAUAAAGACCUCAGAUCUAAUGGAUAGAGACUUAGGUUUGGAAUCAGGAAGAAUAAAUAGAAAUAGCACAGAUGUAAGUCUUGGAAAAACCUUAACUUCAAAGAUGCAGCCAUCAUUAUGUUUUACUUCAGGCAAUUUAUAUAUCUGAUGGAAAUCUCAGGUCAUCUGGUAUUCCCCUUUAUUGUCAGAAUUUAGCAAGGGCUCUUUUAAGUCAAAACAUUGAAAACCCUAUUAACUGUGAUACACUCCUGGACUUAAGCAAAGGGCAGUAUCUCAGAUUUAGCAGUAUCAUCUAGAUGAAAAUGUGUAUAUAAUAUUCUGAGAUAUAGUUAUCUUCAUACGUAGUUACUAUCUUAUGUAUCUCAUCUCCUUCCAGUUUAUGCCUUAUCCCUUGACCUGUAGCUACAGUAAGCAUCACAGUGUUUCUUUAGUUUGUUCAUUCACCCAAAACAGGUAUUGAGAACUACUUUGUGCUAAGCACUGGGCUGAGCUCUGUGGACCCAUUAGUCUUUUGGAUGAACCCAGACAGGAUAGCCAGGCUUUAUUGUACAGUGGAUAAAUGCUAAUAGAGGUAUUCCUAGAGUGCUGGGGAAAGAAGCAUAGAAGACAUGCAUGGAGAAGAGGAAAUUCAUGCAAAAGACAUGGAAGCAUGAGGUAGCAUGGCCUUUUGAGUGUUCAUGCCUUGCCUGGGAGACACGGCAGGGACCGGAACUGGAUGUGUGGGUGGGGGCUUGGGAUGACAAAGACCUUGGAUGCCAACUGAGGGGUCUGAAUUAAUCAUGUGGAGGAUGGGGAACCAACGAUCAAAUUGUGCUUUGGAAAGAUCAGUGUAGAGAAUGGAUUGCCGGAAGAAAGAAUUUGAAGCAGGGAAAGCAGAGGGAACUUUUGGGGUAGUGUGGUUUAUGCAAGAAACUACAAAGCCCUCCUCUCUCUUCUUUGCUUGACCAACAUCUAAAUCAUCCAUAUAGGAAUAGGUUGAAAUGCUACUUCCUUUGAGAAGCCUUUCUUCCCUACUCCUCAGGACAUACAUAGUCACUCACUCCUAUAGCUCUUUGCUCAUAAUUUAAUUAUAGUAUUUAUCACUGAGUGUUGUACGGAUUGUUUGUCAUGUCUAUCUCCCUACUACAGUGAGUUUUCUAGGUCAGGGCCUCUAUCUUAUUCAUCUUGGCAUCUUUAGCAUUUAGGACAGUGCCUUGCACAGGGUGUCUGCUCAAAUAUUUGAUGAGUGAGAGACAGAAUGAAUAUUUGCCAGUCGUGGAUAGAAUGCAUGAGAAAGUUGAUCUUUCCCCCCAAACUGAAUAUUCAUUAUUACCCAAAUUAAUUUUUGCAAAAUUCCAUGCACGAUCAUUUAAUUAGUCCAAUUGAGGAAACAAGGAAAUGAGACUCA